AACUGGCCCGGGCUGUGAUUGGACCCCUGAAAAGUGGACUCCAUUCCCUCAACAACGUCUUGGACAUGCUCCUUAGUGUGAAUGCAGACAUUGUCCUUCCUGGAUGCCAGACCUUUAAUGACAUCAGACACCAGAUUGAAAACAUGAAGCAGCAGAUGAAAAAGUCAGAGCUGGUAGCCGGAGAAGAGCUUCAACGACUGGAUGGGGAGACUGUGAGACUCAUGGCAGAGCAGAGUAAUUUAGCGAAUCAGAGAAAGCAGAGUGAGAGCGAGUUAGAAACAUGUAAAACACAGCUGGAGUCACACAGGUCCUCUCUAGAGAGUUACAUUCAAGCUCUGGACACAGAGUAUUUAGCCCUGGAGUCAGCAGAAGACACCCUAGACCACCAGAGACGGAGGAGAGACAAAGCUAAGACAGCACGAAAUGUAGGGAUUGGGCUCAUGUUUAUCCCAAUUGUGGGAACGAUCGCUGGAGCAGUUGUGGCUGGUGUUGGUCAGAGAAACAUGAAUCGGGCCUCUGAUGCUGUGGACAGCACUGAUAAGGAGGUGGAAAACUGUGAAUCUCAGGUGAGAUCAUACUCUGGCAAAGUGGACGAGUACGAGUCCUUGAUCCGUAAAGCUGAGUGCGACAUCGAAGAGGCUGACAAUAAGAUUCAUGAGAUGGAGGCCAAACUGCAGGGGGUGUCUGUGCAGCGGGAGGUUGUUGCUGAUGUUCAGGCUAAAGUGAGGAGAACUGUCCAUCAGCUGGGGCUGCUGUGUGGAAGGGGGAGCGUGGCAGAGCUGCAGACCCGAUGCCAGAUCCUGCUGGAGCCUGUGAUGAAGGUGAUGGAGGAGAUGACAACAUCACUCGGUCAGAUCACUGGAGAUGACCUGCUGCACACAGAAGGCAUAAAUAGCCUAAUGAUGGAUAUGGAGAAGAACCACAGUAAACUACUAGAGCUUACCGCGUCCGAUGUGAGUUCAGAUGAUGGAGCAGAGCACUUUCCUUUCAUCCAGCUGUGUGUUGUUUUUUUUGGUAUAAUUAUUGUUGGUAUUAUUAUUAAGAACACACUAUUUUUCUAACCAAUGUUUGACCAAUUACUUGAGUUAAGGUAUAGAUACUCCUAGUCAAAUAUUACUCCAGCCCCACUGGGUCUUCAGUGUAACUUUUACUUGCAUUAGUAUAGUUAAGUAUUCAAAAGUAAAUUUUCUUUUUAAUGUCAAGGUAGUGUGUGUGUGUGUGUGUGUGUGUGUGUGUGUGUGUGUGUAUUCAUUUUAUGGAUAAAUAAAAUGCCUAUUUGUUGUAUGAGAUGAGGAAUG
rnacentral:lncRNA from 1 species